rnacentral:rRNA from 1 species
UACGUAGGGGGCUAGCGUUGUCCGGAAUCAUUGGGCGUAAAGAGCGUGUAGGCGGUCCGGUAAGUCCGUUGUGAAAGUCAGGGGUUCAACCCUUGAAUGCCGGCGGAUACUGUCGGGCUAGAGUCCGGAAGAGGCGAGUGGAAUUCCCGGUGUAGCGGUGAAAUGCGCAGAUAUCGGGAGGAACACCUAUGGCGAAGGCAGCUCGCUGGGACGGUACUGACGCUGAGACGCGAAAGCGUGGGGAGCGAACAGG